rnacentral:rRNA from 1 species
AUGGAUGGGAACACCAGAGGAGGCGGACAUUCUGAAGCAUUAAAGAACUACAAUCUGGGCACAACAUUAGGUAUUGGCUCAUUUGGAAAAGUGAAGCUUGCAGAGCAUAAGCUUACAGGACAAAAAGUUGCUAUAAAAAUUCUGAACCGUCGCCAAAUGGAAAUUAUGCAAAUGGAAGAGAAAGCAAAUAGAGAAAUUAAGAUAUUGAGGUUGUUCAGUGACUUCAUUCACCCUCAUAUCAUCCGGGUUUAUGAGGUCAUUGACGCACCUAAGGAUAUAUUUGUUGUUAUGGAAUAUUGCAACAAUGGUGAGCUAUUGGACUACAUUAUUGAGAAAGGGCGGUUACAGGAAGAUGAGGCUCGUCGAAUCUUCCAGCAGAUUAUAUCAGGUGUUGAAUACUGCCACAGAAACAUGAUUGUUCAUCAUGAUCUAAAGCCAGAAAACCUUUUACUUGAUUCCAAAUAUAAUGUGAAACUUGUUGACUUUGGGUUAAGUAAUGUCAUGCAUGAUGGCCAUUUUCUGAAUACAAGCUGCGGGAGUACAAACUAUGCUGCACCAGAGGUUAUCUCAGGUGAAGUAUAUGUUGGACCAGAGGUUGAUAUUUGGAGCUGUGGGGUGGUACUUUAUGCUCUUCUUUGUGGCUCUGUUCCAUUUGAUGAUGAAUAUACUCCCAACCUGCUCAAAAAGAUAAAGGGAGGUAACUAUAUCCUUCCAACUCAUUUAUCUGAUCUUGCAAAGGAUUUGAUCCCAAGAAUGCUUCUUGUUGAUCCCAUGAAGAGAAUCACAAUUCGCGAAAUUCGAGACCACCAAUGGUUUCAGAAUCACCUUCCUCGCUACCUGGCAGUGCCUCCACCAGACACAACACAGCAAGCCAAAAUGUUUAUCAGAAAUUUUCUUUCGAAGCUUUGA